rnacentral:rRNA from 1 species
GAAUAGCCUUUCGAAAGAAAGAUUAAUACCGGAUAGUAUACGAAUAUCGCAUGAUAUUUUUAUUAAAGAAUUUCGGUUAUCGAUGGGGAUGCGUUCCAUUAGUUUGUUGGCGGGGUAACGGCCCACCAAGACUACGAUGGAUAGGGGUUCUGAGAGGAAGGUCCCCCACAUUGGAACUGAGACACGGUCCAAACUCCUACGGGAGGCAGCAGUGAGGAAUAUUGGUCAAUGGGCGAGAGCCUGAACCAGCCAAGUAGCGUGAAGGAUGAAGGCUCUAUGGGUCGUAAACUUCUUUUAUAUGGGAAUAAAGUUUUCCACGUGUGGAAUUUUGUAUGUACCAUAUGAAUAAGGAUCGGCUAACUCCGUGCCAGCAGCCGCGGUAAUACGGAGGAUCCGAGCGUUAUCCGGAUUUAUUGGGUUUAAAGGGAGCGUAGGUGGAUUGUUAAGUCAGUUGUGAAAGUUUGCGGCUCAACCGUAAAAUUGCAGUUGAAACUGGCAGUCUUGAGUACAGUAGAGGUGGGCGGAAUUCGUGGUGUAGCGGUGAAAUGCUUAGAUAUCACGAAGAACUCCGAUUGCGAAGGCAGCUCACUAGACUGUCACUGACACUGAUGCUCGAAAGUGUGGGUAUCAAACAGGAUUAGAUACCCUGGUAGUCCACACAGUAAACGAUGAAUACUCGCUGUUUGCGAUAUACAGUAAGCGGCCAAG